GUAGGUGGCAAGCGUUGUCCGGAAUUAUUGGGCGUAAAGCGCGCGCAGGCGGUCCUUUAAGUCUGAUGUGAAAGCCCACGGCUCAACCGUGGAGGGUCAUUGGAAACUGGGGGACUUGAGUACAGAAGAGGAAAGCGGAAUUCCAAGUGUAGCGGUGAAAUGCGUAGAGAUUUGGAGGAACACCAGUGGCGGAGGCGGCUUUUCUGGUCUGUAACUGACGCUGAGGCGCGAAAGCGUGGGGAGCAAACAGGGAUUAGAUACCCUGGUAGUCCACGCCGUAAACGAUGAGUGCUAAGUGUUAGGGGGUUUCCGCCCCCUUAGUGCUGCAGCUAACGCAUUAAGCACUCCGCCUGGGGAUACGGCCGCAAGGCUG
rnacentral:rRNA from 1 species